rnacentral:lncRNA from 7 species
AGAGCCUUGGAAUGAAUAGCCCUAAAUAAAAGAUAGAUGCAAACAAAGAGCUGUGUUGCCUGGACUGCUGGUGAGCACCUGAGGAUCCCUGAUGUGCUGAAAGCAUGGUCUGUCCGAGGCCAAGGAGGGAACUGAGCCCAGCUCUCCUUGCAUGGGGAUUCUUCUCACAAAUGGAAGGUACGAGCAGGUGCACCGCUCUUCGGUCAAUGAAGAAAACAGCAUGAGCAGAGUCAAGAAGAGCCGAGCGAGUGAAUCACGGCGGCACAAAUCAGCAGUGAAGAAGCAGGCUGCUGCAGCACCUGUACUGAAAGCCUGAGGCCAGCAAGGAGAGCGGCAGAAAGGCUGCAGUGGGAAAUGGCAUGGGGAGUACCAUAUGCACUGAGCACCGAAAUGCUGAGAAUGGCAUUUUCAGCUAUUCCAAAGACAGGGAAAACGUCCGCGUCCUUGAGUAAGGUCAAAGAUGAACUGUUCAGGACCAUACUUGUAGCAUUAGGCAAGUGCCGAUCUGCUUUUAUUUAAAAUGCAACGUCUCGAUGCUAAUUGUGCUGGGUUGCUUCACAGGGAUGCAACCUACUGUGUGCAGGUUGGAAUCUAGCACUGCUGUUGGGUAUUUCUUUAGAUGAGAGUUGAGUAUCAAGAUGGUUUACGUAAGGCUUACAACAAAAAGCAGUCCAUUAGUCAGUCCAUCCAAUUAACCACGCUGUAUGCACACUGGGGAGAGGUUUUGUUUUGGCUCCACUGUGUUGUUGUUUUAGUUAUACAUAUAUAUAUAUACAAAAAUUGUUUAAAAUAGGAAUAUAGUUGAAUGGCAUACUCAAAGUGGGCUUUGCUACUGCUAACAGGAUGUUUAAAAUCUAUGUAUUGCUGAACUGUUCUGCUACGUGUGUUUUUCUUUCCUGGUUUUAGAUUUCCCCAAUCUGCCGACUUCUCUAGUUGGGAUAAAGUAGGAGAAAAUGUAUUGUGGUUGAAAUGAAAACUGGCAGUUACAGCCUUCCCUUGGCAAGGAGGGCUAAGGUCCCUUCACCAACUCGGGCAGAAGGCAGGUUAGUGUCUCUUGUGUCUGGUUCUUGGUUGGUUUGGUUUGGUGUGCUACUUCUUGUUUUAAUUAAUCAGUGCUGAAAGACCAGGGAUGACCACUUAGACAUACUGUGAGUUGACUGUUGAUGUCUGUGGGAUGGGGAGCAGCCCGGCACCUCGAGGGUAUGGGGAUGGGCACUGCCAAGGGCUUGGCUGGAAAAGCUUCCGUAGUUUUACCAUGCACUUUCUCAUGACUGCAAGGUGUUUUGCACAGAUCUCCCUUUCUUCUUACCUAAAUGUGAACACAUGCAGAUCAAUUGAUGGAACUUUGAAAAUCUUCUUGGAUGUUUUAUGAACGUUCUGUUUCAUUAUUCCUUUCAUGUAUUUUGUUCAGAACAAGUCAACAACAAGAAAGUAACUUUUUGCACAUGAUCAGAAAUACCUUUUUUUUUUCCUCCUGGUUUUCCAAAGGCAGUAAAUAUAAAUCGGCUGUUGUCUGUACAUGAAGCUGCCGUUUUCCAUAAAUAACCAAGGUGUUGUGCAGCUCAUUAUUUCAUAAGGCUUAGAAAAAUCAUCGCUGUCAAGAAUCAAAGCUUGUGACUGUCAUUGGUUUUAUUAAAAGCACAAUUGUUUGAUCUUUUGAAGAAGGAAAAAAGGUCAGCUCCUGCAUUUUUAAAAACACUUUGCGUUUGGUCUUACUUAAGAGGCUCAAAAAGUGAAAAAUGCAACCUGACAUGAUGUGUUCUAGUGGCCCUUAAUAGCCACUCACUCCACCGAUUUCUCUAAGUGUAUCUUUAAUCUGCGACUCCCAAACUAAUUAAGGACUGAAUGCCUUUGGACUGAUUUUCAUUUUGUCUUGAGUUAUUGCGACAUCUUUGCUACAAAUUCUUUUUCAGUCUAAUUAAAUUCCCACAGCAUAAGUGUCAUUAUUAAUAUUAUCACCUUUGGUAGACUAACUUUGCUUUGGUCUCUUGAUAACUGUGCAUUGUGGAACGACUCCCUUUCUUCCUGGUUAAUAUUUGGGAAGUUUUGCUUGAAGUGAGAACAUCUCGAGGAUUAGCAUAGAGAGAACCCAUUAAUAUCAAUAUAAUAAUUCAAAUAGAGGGAGUUUUAUUAAAAAUCCAAUGGUCGUGCUAUCAUAUUAGUUUUCAGGAGUAUGUUUCAAAACUAAUUUUAAACUUCUCUUUUUACCUUCAGAAAUCUUUCCUGGACCAUAAGAAUUCUAAUAACUCGAGGAUAAAAAGCAAUUCCCAC